ACUGCCUCUUCCUUCUGGUGUUUCGGUUUGCAGACAUCAGUUGGGCAAACAUGUUUAAGGUGCACUCAAGUUUCAAUAUUUCAUCGUCUUCAAUAAUGAGGUUCAAGUGGUUAUUGCAACAAUGGACACAACUUUAUUAGAAUGAAUGCUGAUAUGGAUGUUGAUUUCAGUCGGUAUGAGGAUGAAGACAUAACCCUUGAUCGCGAUGAUUAUCGU
rnacentral:lncRNA from 1 species